rnacentral:rRNA from 1 species
GGGAGGGGAGCAAGCGUUGCUCGGAAUUACUGGGCGUAAAGGGCGUGUAGGCGGGGACAGUAAGUCGGGGUGUGAAAGCCCUGGGCUCAACCCAGGAAGUGCAUUCGAAACUACUGUUCUUGAGUAUGACAGAGGAGAGUGGAAUUCCCGGUGUAGCGGUGAAAUGCGUAGAUAUCGGGAAGAACACCUGUAGCGAAGGCGACUCUCUGGGUCACAACUGACGCUGAGGCGCGAAAGCUAGGGGAGCAAACGGGAUUAGAUACCCCGGUAGUCCUAGCCCUAAACGAUGGGCACUAGGUGUGGGAGGGAUUGACCCCCUCUGUGCCGAAGCUAACGCAUUAAGUGCCCCGCCUGGGGAGUACGGCCGCAAAGGCUA